rnacentral:rRNA from 1 species
UACGUAGGGCGCAAGCGUUAUCCGGAAUUAUUGGGCGUAAAGAGCUCGUAGGCGGUUUGUCGCGUCUGCCGUGAAAGUCCGGGGCUCAACUCCGGAUCUGCGGUGGGUACGGGCAGACUAGAGUGAUGUAGGGGAGACGGGAAUUCCUGGUGUAGCGGUGAAAUGCGCAGAUAUCAGGAGGAACACCGAUGGCGAAGGCAGGUCGCUGGGCAUUAACUGACGCUGAGGAGCGAAAGCAUGGGGAGCGAACAGG